rnacentral:rRNA from 1 species
CAUGCUCCACAGGAAAUAGAAUGAGUGGUGAACGGGUGAGUAACACGUGGGUAACCUGCCCAUCAGAAGGGGAUAACACUUGGAAACAGGUGCUAAUACCGUAUAACAAUCGAAACCGCAUGGUUUUGAUUUGAAAGGCGCUUUCGGGUGUCGCUGAUGGAUGGACCCGCGGUGCAUUAGCUAGUUGGUGAGGUAACGGCUCACCAAGGCUACGAUGCAUAGCCGACCUGAGAGGGUGAUCGGCCACAUUGGGACUGAGACACGGCCCAAACUCCUACGGGAGGCAGCAGUAGGGAAUCUUCGGCAAUGGACGAAAGUCUGACCGAGCAACGCCGCGUGAGUGAAGAAGGUUUUCGGAUCGUAAAACUCUGUUGUUAGAGAAGAACAAGGAUGAGAGUAACUGUUCAUCCCUUGACGGUAUCUAACCAGAAAGCCACGGCUAACUACGUGCCAGCAGCCCCGGUAAUACAUAGGUGGCAAGCGUUGUCCGGAUUUAUUGGGCGUAAAGCGAGCGCAGGCGGUUUCUUAAGUCUGAUGUGAAAGCCCCCCGCUCACCCGGGGAGGGUCAUUGGUAAACUGGGAGACUUGAGUGCAGAAAAGGAGAGUGGAAUUCCAUGUGUAGCGGCGAAAUGCGUAAAUAUUUGGAGGAACACAAUGGCGAAGGCGGGUCUCUGGUCUUUACUUGACGCUUAGCUCGAAAGCGUGGGGAGCAAACAGGAUUAUAUACCCUGGUAGUC